GACGAACGCUGGCGGCGUGCCUAAUGCAUGCAAGUCGAGCGAGCUACAGUCUUCGGAUUGUAGCUUAGCGGCGAACGGGUGAGUAACACGUAGGUGAUCUACCCUUCAGAGGAGGACAACCUCAGGAAACUGAGGCUAAACCUUCAUACGUUCACUGGUAGGGAUACUGGUGAAGAAAGAGUUACCGUUGAGGUGGCUGCUGAAGGAUGAGCCUGCGGCCCAUCAGGUAGUUGGUGAGGUAACGGCUCACCAAGCCGAAGACGGGUAACCGGUCUGAGAGGAUGUCCGGUCACACUGGGACUGAGACACGGCCCAGACUCCUACGGGAGGCAGCAGCAGGGAAUCUUGGGCAAUGGGCGAAAGCCUGACCCAGCGACGCCGCGUGGAGAAGAAGUCCUGGGCGUAACUCCUGGACUGGGGACGAGGAAGGACGGUACCCGACGUAGAAAGGGACGGACGUAACUACGUGCCAGCACGCCGCCGGUAAGAUCACGUGUA
rnacentral:rRNA from 1 species